rnacentral:tRNA from 1 species
GUUCCUGUAGUUGAAGUUUGACAACGGCGGUUUUUCAGGCCGUAGGUCUUGGUUAGAGGCCAGGUAGGAACU